UACGGGGGGAGCAAGCGUUGUUCGGAUUUACUGGGCGUAAAGGGCGCGUAGGCGGUCAGCACAAGUCAGUUGUGAAAUCUCCGGGCUUAACUCGGAAAGGUCAACUGAUACUGUGCGACUAGAGUGCGGAAGGGGCAACUGGAAUUCUCGGUGUAGCGGUGAAAUGCGUAGAUAUCGAGAGGAACACCUGCGGCGAAGGCGGGUUGCUGGGCCGACACUGACACUGAGAGACGAAAGCUAGGGGAGCAAACGGG
rnacentral:rRNA from 1 species